rnacentral:rRNA from 1 species
UCUGGUGGUCCUUGCAGGAGGGUCACACCUGAUCCCUUACAGAACUCAGAAGUUAAGCCUCUUAGCGCCGAUGAUACUUGGGCCUGAGCCCUGGGAAAGUAGGUCACCGCCAGAA